AUACGGAGGGAGCAAGCGUUAUUCGGAAUCACUGGGCGUAAAGGACGCGUAGGCGGGUUUGUAAGUCAGGUGUGAAAUCCUACGGCUCAACUGUAGAACUGCACUUGAAACUACAGACCUAGAGUAUGGAAGGGGCAGAUGGAAUUAGUGGUGUAGGGGUAAAAUCCGUAGAUAUCACUAGGAAUACCGAAAGCGAAGGCGAUCUGCUGGGACAUUACUGACGCUGAGGCGUGAAAGCGUGGGGAGCAAACAGGAUUAGAAACCCCUGUAGUCC
rnacentral:rRNA from 1 species